CUUUCCCUCUUUCUUCCUGCCUAACACAUGCAAGUCGAACGGUAACAGGAAACAGCUUGCUGUUUCGCUGACGAGUGGCGGACGGGUGAGUAAUGUCUGGGAAACUGCCUGAUGGAGGGGGAUAACUACUGGAAACGGUAGCUAAUACCGCAUAACGUCGCAAGACCAAAGAGGGGGACCUUCGGGCCUCUUGCCAUCAGAUGUGCCCAGAUGGGAUUAGCUAGUAGGUGGGGUAACGGCUCACCUAGGCGACGAUCCCUAGCUGGUCUGAGAGGAUGACCAGCCACACUGGAACUGAGACACGGUCCAGACUCCUACGGGAGGCAGCAGUGGGGAAUAUUGCACAAUGGGCGCAAGCCUGAUGCAGCCAUGCCGCGUGUAUGAAGAAGGCCUUCGGGUUGUAAAGUACUUUCAGCGGGGAGGAAGGGAGUAAAGUUAAUACCUUUGCUCAUUGACGUUACCCGCAGAAGAAGCACCGGCUAACUCCGUG
rnacentral:rRNA from 1 species